ensembl:lncRNA
AUGGAGAAGUUCAGGCGUGUGGUUGAUGACUGUGAAGAUGGCAGACUGAAAAAAGGACUACAGUUGGAAGCAGCUAUUCUGCUCUUGCCUGCACUGUUUAAGGAGGACCCGGGGUUGCUGUUUGAAGUUGAGGGCCAUGCUCAGACCUGCCCUCCUGACACACCAACACCUAAAAUGCAUGUGACACUGAAGGCUGGAGUAAUGAUGCUGAAAAUUCAGCUUUGCACAACAGGAAUAAAUUAUUUUUUUUAAAGUAUAUUCAAAUAGAAAACAGUUAUUUAAAAUUGUAAAAAUAUGUCACAG